rnacentral:rRNA from 1 species
GACGAACGCUGGCGGCGUGCUUAACACAUGCAAGUCGAACGGAAAGGCCCUGCUUUUGUGGGGUGCUCGAGUGGCGAACGGGUGAGUAACACGUGAGUAACCUGCCCUUGACUUUGGGAUAACUUCAGGAAACUGGGGCUAAUACCGGAUAGGAGCUCCUGCUGCAUGGUGGGGGUUGGAAAGUUUCGGCGGUUGGGGAUGGACUCGCGGCUUAUCAGCUUGUUGGGGGGGUAGUGGCUUACCAAGGCUUUGACGGGUAGCCGGCCUGGGAGGGUGACCGGCCACGUUGGGACGGGGAUACGGCCCAGACUCCUACGGGAGGCAGCGGUGGAGAAGAUUGCACAAUGGGCGGAAGCCUGAUGCGACAACGCCGCGUGCGGGAUGACGGCCUUCGGGUUGGAAACCGCUUUCGCCUUUGACGAAGCGUGAGUGACGGUAAUGGGUAAAGAAGCACCGGCUAACUACGUG